CCUACGGGCGGCUGCAGUAGGGAAUAUUGGUCAAUGGGCGCAAGCCUGAACCAGCCAUGCCGCGUGCAGGAAGAAGGCCCUCUGGGUUGUAAACUGCUUUUGAUAGGGAACAAAUGCCACUUGCGAGUGGAGCUGAGUGUACCUAUAGAAUAAGCACCGGCUAACUCCGUGCCAGCAGCCGCGGUAAUACGGAGGGUGCAAGCGUUGUUCGGAUUUAUUGGGUUUAAAGGGUGCUUUUUAAGCUAGUUAAGAAAUCCUUCAGCUUAACUGGAGAACUGCCAUUGAUACUGAAUAGCUUGAGUAUAGUUGAGGUAGGCGGAAUUGACAGUGUAGCGGUGAAAUGCUUAGAUAUUGUCAAGAACACCGAUUGCGAAGGCAGCUUACUAAACUAUAACUGACGCUGAGGCACGAAAGCGUGGGGAUCAAACAGGAUUAGAUACCCUGGUAGUC
rnacentral:rRNA from 1 species